rnacentral:rRNA from 1 species
CCUACGGGAGGCAGCAGUGAGGAAUAUUGGUCAAUGGGCGUAAGCCUGAACCAGCCAAGUCGCGUGAGGGAUGAAGGUUCUAUGGAUCGUAAACCUCUUUUAUCAGGGAAUAAAGUGUGGGACGUGUCCUAUUUUGUAUGUACCUUAUGAAUAAGGAUCGGCUAACUCCGUGCCAGCAGCCGCGGUAAUACGGAGGAUCCGAGCGUUAUCCGGAUUUAUUGGGUUUAAAGGGUGCGUAGGCGGCCUCUUAAGUCAGCGGUGAAAGUUUGUGGCUCAACCCUAGAAUUGCCGUUGAAACUGGGGGGCUUGAGUAUGUGUGAGGCAGGCGGAAUGCGUGGUGUAGCGGUGAAAUGCUUAGAUAUCACGCGGAACCCCGAUUGCGAAGGCAGCCUGCCAAGCCAUGACUGACGCUGAUGCACGAAAGCGUGGGGAUCAAACAGGAUUAGAUACCCGGGUAGUC